GGCAACCGGCUCGGGUCUCCUUACGCACUGUGGAAGCUUUGUUCCUUCGCUCUUUGCAAUAAAUCUUGCUACUGCUCACACUUUGGGUCCACACUGCCUUUAUGAGCUGUAACACUCACCGGGAAGGCCUGCAGCUUCACUCCUGAGCCAGCGAGACCACGAGCCCACCAGGAGGAACGAACAACUCCAGAGGCGCCGCCUUAAGAGCUGUAACCCGGCAAAGGUCUGCAGCUUCACUCCUGAGCCAGGGAGACCACGAACCCACCAGAAGGAAGAAACUCCAAACACAUCCGAACAUCAGAAGGAACAAACUCCAGACGCGCCACCUUAAGAGCUGUAACACUCACUGGGAGGGUCCGCGGCUUCAUUCUUGAAGUCAGUGAGACCAAGAACCCACCAAUUCCGGACACAUAACCACUAUGCUAGACCAGAUACAGGAAAUCUUCAUAACCUCAGGAAGUUCUCCUGUGCCUCUUUGCAGUCACUUCCUCUCCGUGUCUUCCUCCCACCCCCGCCAUCUGAGGCAACCACAACUGGAAUUUCUAUCAUAUUGUGUUAAAUUACUACUUCUAGAAAUUCAUGUAAAUGAAAUCAACCAGAAUGUGAUGUUUUCAGAAUCAUGAAAUAUGGGAAAGGAAGAAAGAAAGAAGAAUCCUACUGAAUUUCAUGGUGUCUUCAUAAUGAGUAUUUAUCUGAGGUACUUUUGUGUGUACCUUCCUAUUUUUGCCAUUACCUCUCCAAUAUUUUGUUUAUCAAAAUCUCAUC
rnacentral:lncRNA from 1 species